rnacentral:rRNA from 1 species
UACGUAGGGUGCGAGCGUUAAUCGGAAUUACUGGGCGUAAAGGGUGCGCAGGCGGUUUUGUAAGCCAGAUGUGAAAUCCCCGGGCUUAACCUGGGAAUGGCAUUUGGGACUGCAAGGCUGGAGUGCGGCAGAGGAGACUGGAAUUCCCGGUGUAGCAGUGAAAUGCGUAGAUAUCGGGAGGAAUACCGAUGGCGAAGGCAGGUCUCUGGGCUGACACUGACGCUCAUGCACGAAAGCGUGGGGAGCAAACAGG